rnacentral:lncRNA from 1 species
CCGCCCCGUUCCGCCGGCGCAGGGCUCAGGGGCCCCGGAGCUUGGGAGCGCGAGGGAAGGAGCUGAAGGGGCGGGUCCGUGGGAGGCGAAGGCAGGGGAAAUGUGUGUCUGCAUUUUUUAAUUUGCAGGGGAUAUUUUCCGUCCCCUUUGUCCCGUAAGCCUCUGCUUUUUGGAUGAAAACGUUGGCUUUACCACCCUCUCUCUCCUUCCCGCACGCGCACACCUUGAAGGCAUCCUACCAGGCGGUGACCGCAGAGGAAGCACCCAGAGCCACAGUUCUUGCCUUGUCAGCUGCUCCCACCACGUCCCCAGAAAGCUCCGGAGGCAGAGUCUCGUUCUAUCACCCAGGCUGGAGUGCAGCGGGGCGAUCUCUGUUCAUUACAACCUCCGCCUCCCGGGUUCAAGCGAUUCUCCUGUCUCAGCCUCCUGAGUAGCUGGGAUUAUAGAGGGUCUUACUUUGUCGCCCAGGCUGGAGUACAGUGGCAUGAUCGUAGCUCAUUGCAGCCUCCACCUCCCUGGGCUCAGGAGAUCCAUCUCAGCCUCCUGAGUAGCUGGGACCACAGGUUUUGUUCAGGUUUAGCACAAGCUGUGAUGAAUAUCUUCAAGCCUCUGCUUCCUGCUGUGGAAUUGUUGCCAAAGGACACAUUCCCAGAUGGGAUUACUGAGUCAGAGGAAGUGGACAUUGAGUGGCUCUCAACAGACAGGCUGUGUUGCUCUCACAGUGCCCAGGUACCACCAGCAAUGUAUACACAUACAGGAAGCGCCGGCUUCCCUGUUGUCUUGUUGCUGUGGCGUGUUGGGGUCUCUAAGACCACCCUGGGUUUGUUGAUUGGCUAGGAGAACUCGCAGAACUCAGCAUACAGUGAUACUCGAGGCUAUGAUGUAUUACGACAACUGGAAAUGAAGCAAAUUCAGCAAAGGAAAAAGGCACAUGGGUCAAGUCCAGAGGAAAUGGAGUGUGAGGGUCCAAGACCCUCUCACAUGCUGGACGCGCCCACUUCCCCCAGAAGUGUGUUGGGACAACACGUGUGGAAUGUCAUUUGUCAGGGACACUCACUAGAGAUUUGGCACCGAGGGUUUUACUGCAGGCUAGUCACAAAGGCCCCCUCUGCCUAGCAUGUACCAAAAUUCUGGACUCCCAGUACGAAGACAUAAACCACAGUGUUUACACAGUUUAGGGGCAGUGAGCCAUUCAUAUCAGGGAAGGGCGGGAACCCUCCCCAAAUCCAAUUUCCCAGAUACGAACCAAGGGCCAACCUUGCAAGCAGUCCUUGCUAAAGAUAACAUUGCUAUAAUUUGUAUUUCUUUCAUUUUUCUUUUGAGAGUAAAUCAUUUCGAUAUAAAAUAAUGAGAUGGGACCUGGCCAUCCGAAGGUUCAUUCACUCUCAAGGCUGGAGGUUGAUGCCAGCUGUCGGCUGUGACCUCAGGCUCUCCCUCUAUCGUCCAGGCUGGAGUGCAGUGGCACCAUCACGACUGACUGCAGCCUCCUGCGCCCCGUGAUCUUCCCACCUCAGUGCCCUGAGUAACUGGGACCACAGCUUCCCAUGGGUGGCCAGCCGAAUGCAUUAUGGGAGAAAGCAGGUCUCGUGGAUAAUAUUUCUGAAGAUCGGAGCAGGUUGCCAGGUCCACGUCGGCCAUGACUGCAGCACGCUCCGGAGGCAGCAGGGGGCACCCUGGAGCUUCGCAUCCUCCUUCAGGCCCGCGGCAUCUCCCCUGGCUCCACCAUCCCCAGGUGUCUCAGGUUGGACGCACGGUAGUUCGCUAUGGCCAUUUCUGAUUAAAGACAGAACAAAUGGAUUGUCCGGAUACGGUGUCUGUGAAAGGAACCCAGCUGUGAGCCUCGGCAGGCAGGUGCGACAUUCUAAAUCCACAGGGAGGGCCCAGAAGGGACGCAAGAGGUCACCUGCCGUGCAGGGUGCGGGGGGUCUUGGAGGUGGGCAGCAGCUGUUCACCCGUGAGCGACGAGGAGCAUCAGCGCUUGAACAGCGGAAGCAGCAUUUACAGGUGAACACCAGCCCGAGAGGGCCGGGGGGCCCAAAGCUAUGGUGUCCAGAGCCUCCCAGCUCCCACUCUGGCCUCCAGUGGCCAUGGAAUUGCUAACUAUGAGGGCGCAAGCUUCUCCCAGCAAGUCAAGGGGAUGCUAUGUGCUGCGAUAACGGGUCCGGCCGCCUUGCCUUUGGCCUUCCAAGCCCCUCUCUGAGCCCCAGGACGUACCCACACCUGCCGGCCCAUGUAGGGUGGUCCCAGCCUGCGUCAGUCAGGCCACACUCCGGAGCCAGGCUUGGUGCAAACUCCCAGCUGAGCUCACCCGCUGGCUGCGGUCUGUGAUACUUCCCUGGUGGUCUCUGACGGGGCUGUAUGGCCUCCCUCUGGAACCCAGGCUGAACACUCGAGGAGCUGGAGGCAGUCGGGCAGAAUCAGCCUCUGGUUGCCAGCAUGGGGUGUCAGGCAGGGGCAAUCCAGCGGGGAGCCUGGGGAGAGAGGGCGGGGGUGAGGCACUGAUCUCAGGCUGUGGGGAGGAAUUCACACCUGCAUGGCUGAGGCUGGUGCUGCCCCCCUGAUCACCAGGAGAUCAGCCUCUCCUUCCCCAGCCUCAAUUUGCACCCCUGGCCUGUGCGGUUGGCACUGUCUCCCGUGGGGAGCCCCUGCCUGGCUCAGGGGAGACCCUGGUGCAGAGCCCACCUUUGGAGCUGCCCUGUCCUGCUGAGGCAGGAGCCACCCCUGGCCUGGCCCUGGCCCUGGCCCUGGCCCUCCGGUGAGGCUGCAGUAGCCAGGAGAAGGCCAGUCAGAAAGGCCAUCUGCCUGGCGGGUGUUUCUAGCCAGCAGGCCAGGGUAAGGAAGUUGUCAGGCGUCCUGCGGGGAUGGCCAGGGUUGCAGACAGGGGUGGCAGCCAGCUCCAUGUAGCUCUGGGACCCAGGUGUGUGGCAGGGCCAGGAGCAUGUUCUGCUGCUCUUCCAGGCCCGACUCCAGCUCAUUUCCUUGAGAGACCCUUUCACCUAUUCCAACCUGCAUUUGCCUGUGUCGUCCUUUGCAGCAGCAGCCUUGUGGCUGUGCCUCUUCUGUGCCCUCCGAGUUCUAGGCUGAGGGUGAGGAUUGGAUGAGUUGAUCCACGCAAGGCUCCUGGCACAGUGCCUGGCAUAUGGUUAAAUAGACUUGAAGUUAUAAUUACCAGGUAUGUGACCCUGUCCUCAAUAUGAGUGCCACAGUGGGCUGGAGAGUGGCAGCCCUGCUGGGCAGGAUCGUAGGGUCUCAGUGACAGGCCUUCCUCGUAUCCCUGACAGGGAGAGAGGCUCACUGAAUAGUAAGUUGGCUGUGUCUUUUCUGUCUGAGCCUCUCUGGGAAGCUUCCAAGGGGAUAAAGGCUUGAGCUGGAACUUGGAGGAGUUUGCAGGUGGCUGGAUUGGGGUGGGGGUGGGGAGGAGGGUGCCAGCAUGCCAGGUGGGGGAACAGCAUGGGCGAAGGUAUGGAGAUGGGGGAGGGAUCUGGACAGGGUGCCUGUGGCUGGAGCACAGGGCAUGUGUGGGCGGGAAGCAGGUGAAGAGAGGAAGAGCUCUGGGGGACUUCUGGAGGGGACCCACCGUAGGAGCAGGCCAAUGGCUGGCAGGGCUAAGUGGUGCAGGUGCCCCUGAUGGAUUUGAUCGAGGUGGGCACACAUGCUCAUGUCAGAGGCAUGUAAACCAGAGCAACUCCAUCUUGCGUAGGAGCUGGGUAAAAUGAGGCUGAGACCUACCGGGCUGCAUUCCUGGACAGUUAAGGCAUUCUAAGUCAUGGGACAAGACGACACAGGUCAUAACGACCUUGCUGAUGAAACAGGUUGCAGUAAAGAAGCUGGUCAAAACCCACAAAAACCAAGACAGCCAUGAGAGUGACCUCCGGUCGUCCUCGCUGCUACACUCCCACCAGGGCCAUGACAGUUUACAAAUGCCACAGCAAUGUCAGGAAGUUAGCCUAUAUGGUCUAAAAAGGGCAGGCAUGAAUAAUCCACCCCUUGUUUAGCAGAUCAUCAAGAAAUAACCAUAAAAAUGUGCAGCCAGCAGCCCUCGGGGCUGCUCUGCCUAUGGAGUAGCC